rnacentral:rRNA from 1 species
AAUCAACGCUGGCGGCGUGCCUCAGACAUGCAAGUCGAACGAUUAAAGCUCUCUUCGGAGAGUGCAUAGAGUGGCGCACGGGUGAGUAACACGUAAGUAAUCUACCCUCGAGUGGGGAAUAACGUCCGGAAACGGGCGCUAAUACCGCAUAAUGCAGCGGCAUCAUAAGAUGACAGUUGUUAAAGAUUUAUCGCUUGAGGAGGAGCUUGCGGCAGAUUAGCUAGUUGGUAAGGUAACGGCUUACCAAGGCUACGAUCUGUAACCGGUCUUAGAGGACGCUCAGUCACACUGACACUGGAUAGCGGGUCAGACUCCUACGGGAGGCAGCAGUCGGGAAUUUUGGGCAAUGGGCGAAAGCCUGAACCAGCAACGCCGCGUGAAGGAUGAAGUAUUUCGGUAUGUAAACUUCGAAAGAAUAGGAAGAAUUAAUGACGGUACUAUUUAUAAGGGCCGGCUAACUACGUGCCAGCAGCCGCAGUAACAC